rnacentral:rRNA from 1 species
GAUGAACGCUGGCGGCGUGCCUAAUACAUGCAAGUCGAGCGAACGGACGAGAAGCUUGCUUCUCCGAUGUUAGCGGCGGACGGGUGAGUAACACGUGGAUAACCUACCUAUAAGACUGGGAUAACUUCGGGAAACCGGAGCUAAUACCGGAUAAUAUUUUGAACCGCAUGGUUCAAAAGUGAAAGACGGUCUUGCUGUCACUUAUAGAUGGAUCCGCGCUGCAUUAGCUAGUUGGUAAGGUAACGGCUUACCAAGGCAACGAUGCAUAGCCGACCUGAGAGGGUGAUCGGCCACACUGGAACUGGGACACGGUCCAGACUCCUACGGGAGGCAGCAGUAGGGAAUCUUCCGCAAUGGGCGAAAGCCUGACGGAGCAACGCCGCGUGAGUGAUGAAGGUCUUCGGAUCGUAAAACUCUGUUAUUAGGGAAGAACAUAUGUGUAAGUAACUGUGCACAUCUUGACGGUACCUAAUCAGAAAGCCACGGCUAACUACGUG